AAGUCGAGGGGCAGCAUGAACUUAGCUUGCUAAGUUUGAUGGCGACCGGCGCACGGGUGAGUAACACGUAUCCAACCUGCCGAUGACUCGGGGAUAGCCUUUCGAAAGAAAGAUUAAUACCCGAUGGCAUAGUUCUUCCGCAUGGUAGAACUAUUAAAGAAAUUCGGUAUGAGAUGGGGAUGCGUUCCAUUAGUUUGUUGGCGGGGUAACGGCCCACCUAGCCGACGAUGGAUAGGGGUUCUGAGAGGAAGGUCCCCACAUUGGAACUGAGACACGGUCCAAACUCC
rnacentral:rRNA from 1 species